UACGUAGGGUGCAAGCGUUGUCCGGAAUUAUUUGGGCGUAAAGAGCUCGUAGGCGGUUUGUCGCGUCUGCUGUGAAAACCCGAGGCUCAACCUCGGGCCUGCAGUGGGUACGGGGCAGACUAGAGUGCGGUAGGGGAGGAUUGGAAUUCCUGGUGUAGCGGUGGAAAUGCGCAGAUAUCAGGAGGAACCACCAAUGGCGAAGGCAGAUCUCUGGGCCGUAACUGACGCUGAGGAGCGGAAAGCAUGGGGGAGCGAACAGG
rnacentral:rRNA from 1 species